rnacentral:rRNA from 1 species
GAUGAACGCUGGCGGCGUGCCUAAUACAUGCGAGUCGAGCGAACAGACGAGGAGCUUGCUCCUCUGACGUUAGCGGCGGACGGGUGAGUAACACGUGGAUAACCUACCUAUAAGACUGGGAUAACUUCGGGAAACCGGAGCUAAUACCGGAUAAUAUAUUCAACCGCAUGGUUCAAUAGUGAAAGACGGUUUUGCUGUCACUUAUCGAUGGAUCCGCGCCGCAUUAGCUAGUUGGUAAGGUAACGGCUUACCAAGGCAACGAUGCCUAGCCGCCCGGAGAGGGGGAUCGGCCACACGGGAACUGAGACACGGUCCAGACCCCUACGGGAGGCAGCAGUAGGGAAUCUUCCGCAAUGGGCGAAAGCCUGACGGAGCAACGCCGCGUGAGUGAUGAAGGUCUUCGGAUCGUAAAACUCUGUUAUUAGGGAAGAACAAAUGUGUAAUUAACUAUGCACGUCUUGACGGUACCUAAUCAGAAAGCCACGGCUAACUACGUG